UCGAAAGACAUUAAGAUAAUCUAUUAAAAAAUCGGCACCAGAGGUUGCUUGCCUCUGGUGCCGAUUUUGUUGAAUAGGUGGCUCUCAAUUUUGAGAUCUAGG
rnacentral:sRNA from 1 species